GAAAUGAACGUUGGCGGGCGUGGAUUAGGCAUGCAAGUCGAGCGAGAACCCGCAAGGGGGACAGCGGCAAACGGGGUAGUAAUGUGUCGGAACGUGCCCUCUGGUCGGGGAUAGCGGCGGGAAACUGCCGGUAAUACCCGAUGAACUCGAGAGAGCAAAGGUGUGAUUCCGUCUGGGGAGCGGCUGAGGUCGUAUUAGCUGGUUGGUGAGGUAAUGGCUCACCAAGGCAAUGAUGCGUAGGGGGUGUGAGAGCAUGGCCCCCACCACUGGCACUGAGACACUGGCCAGACACCUACGGGUGGCUGCAGUCGAGAAUCUUCGGCAAUGGGCGCAAGCCUGACCGAGCGACGCCGCGUGCGGGAUGAAGGUCUUCGGAUUGUAAACCGCUGUCGGAGGGGAUGAAGUGCAGGGGGGUACUCCCCCCUGUUUGACAGAGCCUCGGAGGAAGCACGGGCUAAGUUCGUGCCAGCAGCCGCGGUAAUACGAACUGUGCGAACGUUAUUCGGAAUCACUGGGCUUAAAGGGUGCGUAGGCGGCGGCACAAGUCAGGUGUGAAAUCCCCCGGCUCAACCGGGGAACAGCGCUUGAAACUAGGUCGCUCGAGUGGGGCAGGGGUGUAUGGAACUUCCGGUGGAGCGGUGAAAUGUGUAGAUAUCGGAAGGAACGCCGGCGGCGAAAGCGGUACACUGGGCCUUGUCUGACGCUGAGGCACGAAAGCUAGGGGAGUGAACGGGAUUAGAUACCCCGGUAAUCCUAGCCGUAAACACUGAGCACUGGAGGAGAGGGGCUUCGGCCUUUCUCCUCGCAGCGAAAG
rnacentral:rRNA from 1 species